rnacentral:rRNA from 1 species
AUUGAACGCUGGCGGCAGCCUUAACAAUUCCAAUUCGAGCGGUUGAAGGGGGUUUCUCCUUGAUUCAAGCGCCGGCCGGGUGAGUAUUCCCUGGGAUCUGCCCUGUAAUUGGGGGUUAACUCCCGAAACCGACCCCUAUUCCCCCUUACUCCCUGGGGAGGAAAGUGGGGGUCCUUGGACCCCCCCCCUUCAGAUGGACCCUAGGUCGGAUUAGCUAGUUGGUGGGGUAAAGGCCUACCAAGGCGACGAUCCGUAACUGGUCUGAGAGGAUGAUCAGUCACACUGGAACUGAGACACGGUCCAGACUCCUACGGGAGGCAGCAGUGGGGAAUAUUGGACAAUGGGCGAAAGCCUGAUCCAGCCAUGCCGCGUGUGUGAAGAAGGUCUUCGGAUUGUAAAGCACUUUAAGUUGGGAGGAAGGGCAGUAAGUUAAUACCUUGCUGUUUUGACGUUACCAACAGAAUAAGCACCGGCUAACUUCGUG